ensembl:lncRNA
GGACAUCUCGAGUUUCUUCAGCAAGCUAGGAAGCAUUUCCUUUGGUCAACCUGAAUGUCUGUGGAACAGACUCGUGGACUUCUAAACACCUUCCAAGCUCUGUGUGAAAAAUGACCCAUAUGGAUCAUGCCCUGAAACUGACCACCUCAAAAUGACUGUUGCAAUACACAUAGAAGUCAAUGGAAGGUUAUCAAGACUUACAGGAAUAAUUUGACACAGCUAAACAUCUGCUUUGUCUUCAAAGAUACAGAAGAAAAAAGAAAGAGAAGAAAGUUCUGAGAGAGGAAAUUGCACAGAAAUUGCAUAAAUCCUUACUGUCAAUUGCGUCAGCUAGUGAUUUCCUUACUCUAAACCAGAUGAAGAAUUUCAGUUCUAUGACAUUUGAGGUUUCAUAUUUGCUGUGUAAGCUACUGAGAAGAGAACCAGCUCCUAGAGCUUCUGAAAUGCAGCUGAAUGUACUUUUUAACCAAAAGUAAAUAAUUGGGAUGAAAAUAGUAGAAAUGUAGCUUCGUAUCUCCUGACUGCGUGCUCAUCAGUUGAACCAAGACUUCUGAAGAUCUCUGAUCUCCAUACAAGAAAAUAAUCCUUUUGUCCCUCUUUAUAAAGCGG